rnacentral:rRNA from 1 species
CACGUAGGGUGCGAGCGUUGUCCGGAAUUAUUGGGCGUAAAGAGCUCGUAGGCGGUGUGUCGCGUCGGCCGUGAAAACUUGCAGCUUAACUGUGGGCGUGCGGUCGAUACGGGCAUCACUGGAGUUCGGCAGGGGAGACUGGAAUUCCUGGUGUAGCGGUGAAAUGCGCAGAUAUCAGGAGGAACACCGGUGGCGAAGGCGGUUCUCUGGGCAUUACCUGACGCUGGAGGAGCGAAAGUGUGGGGAGCGAACAGG